rnacentral:piRNA from 1 species
UAAUGACGUUUUUUCCUCUGA